rnacentral:rRNA from 1 species
AUUGAACGCUGGCGGCAGGCCUAACACAUGCAAGUCGAACGAGUGGCGGACGGGUGAGUAAUGUCUGGGAAACUCCCCGAUGGAGGGGGAUAACUACUGGAAACGGUAGCUAAUACCGCAUACCAUCGGAUGUGCCUAGAUGGGCUUAGCUUGUAGGUGAGGUAACGGCUCACCUAGGCGACGUUCCCUAGCUGGUCUGAGAGGAUGACCAGCCACACUGGAAGUGAGACACGGUCCAGAAUCCUACGGGAGGCGCCAGGGGGGAAUAUUGCAGAAUGGGGGCAAGCCUCAUGCAGGCAUGCCGCGUGUAUGAAGAGGGCGUUCGGGUUCUAAAGUACUUUCAGCGGGGAGGCGUUACCGGCAGAAGAAGCACCGGCUAACUCCGUGCCAGCAGCCGCGGUAAUUC